rnacentral:lncRNA from 1 species
AUGGCUGUCUGGGGAGGACUUACUAAUAGCUGUGAAAAGAAGAGAGGAGAAAAGGAAAGAUAUAAGCAUCUGAAUGCAGAGUUCCAAAGAAAAGCAAGAAGAGAUAAGAAAGCCUUCUUCAGCGAUCAAUGCAAAGAAAUAGAGGAAAACAACAGAAUGGGAAAGACUAGAGAUCUCUUCAAGAAAAUUAGAGAUACCAAGGGAACAUUUGAUGCAAAGAUGGGCUCGAUAAAGGACAGAAAUGGUAUGGACCUAACAGAAGCAGAAGAUAUUAAGAAGAGGUGGCAAGAAUACACGGAAGAACUGUACGAAAAAGAUCUUCACGACCCAGAUAAUCAUGAUGAUGUGAUCACUAAUCUAGAGCCAGAUAUCUUGGAAAGUGAAGUCAAGUGGGCCUUAGGAAGCAUCACUAUGAACAAAGCUAGUGGAGGUGAUGGCAUUCCAGUUGAGCUGUUUCAAAUCCUGAAAGAUGAUGCUGUGAAGGUGCUGCACUCAAUAUGCCAGCAAAUUUGGAAAACUCAGCAGUGGCCACAGGACUGGAAAAGGUCAGUUUUCAUUCCAAUUCCAAAAAAAGGAAAUGCAAAAGAAUGCUCAAACUACCGCACAAUUGCACUCAUCUCACAUGCUAGUAAAGUAAUGCUCAAAAUUCUCCAAGCCAGGCUUCAGCAAUACGUGAACCGUGAACUCCCUGAUGUUCAAGCUGGUUUUAGAAAAGGCAGAGGAACCAGAGAUCAAAUUGCCAAUAUCCGCUGGAUCAUGGAAAAAGCAAGAGAGCUCCAGAAAAACAUCUAUUUCUGCUUUAUUGACUAUGCCAAAGCCUUUGACUGUGUGGAUCACAAUAAACUGUGGAAAAUUCUGAAAGAGAUGGGAAUACCAGACCACCUAACCUGUCUCUUGAGAAAUCUGUAUGCAGGUCAGGAAGCAACAGUUAGAACUGGACAUGGGACAACAGACUGGUUCCAAAUAGGGAAAGGAGUAUGUCAAGGCUGUAUAUUGUCACCCUGCUUAUUUAACUUCUAUGCAGAGUACAUCAUGAGAAAUGCUGGACUGGAAGAAGCACAAGCUGGAAUCAAGAUUGCCGGGAGAAAUAUCAAUAACCUCAGAUAUGCAGAUGACACCACCCUUAUGGCAGAAAGUGAAGAGGAGCUAAAAAGCCUCUUGAUGAAAGUGAAAGAGAAGAGUGAAAAAGUUGGCUUAAAGCUCAACAUUCAGAAAACAAACAUCAUGGCAUCCGGCCCCAUCACUUCAUGGGAAAUAGAUGGGGAAACAGUGGCAACAGUGGCUGACUUUAUUUUUUUGGGCUCCAAAAUCACUGCAGAUGGUGACUGCAGCCAUGAAAUUAAAAGACACUUACUCUUUGGAAGAAAAGUUAUGACCAACCUAGAUAGCACAUUAAAAAGCAGAGACAUUACUUUGCCGACUAAGGUCCAUCUAGUCAAGGCUAUGGUUUUUCCAGUGGUCAUGUAUGGAUGUGAGAGUUGGACUGUGAAGAAGGCUGAGCACCAAAGAAUUGAUGCUUUUGAACUAUGGUGUUGGAGAAGACUCUUGAGGGUCCCUUGGACUGCAAGGAGAUCCAACCAGUCCAUUCUAAAGGAGAUCAACCCUGGGAUUUCUUUGGAAGGAAUGAUGCUAAAGCUGAAACUCCAGUACUUUGGCCACCUCAUGCGAAGAGCUGACUCAUUGGAAAAGACUCCAUUGCUGGGAGGGAUUGGGGGCAGGUGGAGAAGGGGAUGA